rnacentral:misc_RNA from 1 species
UAUGCGUCGAGGCAUCAUUACGUGAAUAUUUUAUUGAGGAAGGCAAGCAACCCCUUAAAUGGGUAAACCUUAAUGAGGAAGAAUGUGAUGAUUUAGCUGCAUUUCUCUCUGGGACAACACCUACUCUACGAGCUCCAAAAGAUGAAAACCCGGAACCUGUACCUUCUUUUGAAGAAUCUAUUCAUGAGACUUGUAAUAAAAGACGAGAAGCAAGUAGUAACCAGAGCAGCCUAGAUAUUGGUGAUAAAGUUGAAGAAAUUCAAGAUGCACGGUUUG